rnacentral:lncRNA from 1 species
AAACUAGGACACUUCUACCGAUCAAUCGGCAACCUUCAGGCUCUUCUUCCGCAUCAUCGGCAGACCUCCUUAUCGUAGCCAUCGGCACAAGUUAAUAAUGGCCAUCGGCACAAACACACCGCCACCUAUGAACUUAGUCAUAUUCCGCUAUCCCUUCAUCAGCAACCAUCCUCAUCGGCAACUCAUCCUGUAGACCAAGCACUGCUGUCUUGUCUUGCUGACCUGCAUUCUACCAAUCAUGGACACGUGCCCAAAAACGGUGUCAACAGGAUGAGUUUCAUGGUA